rnacentral:sRNA from 1 species
ACGCAGAAGGGAGGUGGUCCAAACAAUGGUUAGUCAUUAUUGGGCUAGCGAGGUGGCUGUCCGCUAGGACUCGUCCAUCUGGACCUUCCGUCUGGAUGUCGAACGACGUCCCGGCGAAUCCUCGACAGACACCGGAACCCCGGGCGGCCGGCGGGCGGAGGCGUAUCGUUUCCCCCAUGGUCCAGCCGGCCCGUCUCACCUGAGGCGGAGCACGCCCGGGGUUUUUUCAUG